rnacentral:rRNA from 1 species
UACGUAGGGUGCAAGCGUUAAUCGGAAUUACUGGGCGUAAAGCGUGCGCAGGCGGCUUUGCAAGACAGAUGUGAAAUCCCCGGGCUUAACCUGGGAACUGCAUUUGUGACUGCAUGGCUAGAGUGCGGCAGAGGGGGAUGGAAUUCCGCGUGUAGCAGUGAAAUGCGUAGAUAUGCGGAGGAACACCGAUGGCGAAGGCAAUCCCCUGGGCCUGCACUGACGCUCAUGCACGAAAAGCGUGGGGGAGCAAAACAGG